rnacentral:rRNA from 1 species
AAAACAUUUCUUAUAAAGUCUUUAUAAGUAACGUCUGCUCAAUGAAUUUUCAAUAGCCGCAGAAUAUUCACUGUGCUAAGGUAGCAUAAUCAUUAGCCUCUUAAUUAGAGGCUUGCAUGAAAGACAAAACAAUUCAUAUACUUUAUUAGUUGAUUAUUUUAAAUUUAAAUUAAGAAUUAAAAUGUUCUUAUUUGUAUAAAAGACGACAAGACCCUUUUGAACUUUACUUAAGUUUGGCUGGGGCAGCCCAGAAAUAAUAAUUUUUCUAUACUCCUUUUAAUAAACGACCCAAUAAAAUUGAUUAAAUGAACAAGUUACCAUAGGGAUAACAGCGUAAUAACUUUUUAAAGCUCUUAUUUAAAAUGGGGAUUGCGACCUCGAUGUUGAAUUAAUGUAACUUAAUAGUGCAGUAACUAUUAUAUAAGUAGGUCUGUUCGACCUUUAAUACAUUACAUGAUCUGA